rnacentral:lncRNA from 1 species
GAAAUUUGAUUAGGGAUCUUAUAGCGUAUAGACACUAAACCAUGUUUAUCAGUCAUGGGGUGACACACAUUACAGUUAGUUGUACAACAGGCUCCACUAAGACUCCGCCCACUGACAGGGACACUAUAAAGCAGUUAGUUGUUUGUGCAGAGUAGAAGCAAAUCUGUUUUCAAGAUGAGGGGGCUCUUAUCACUCAGUUUGAUGGUCUUCGUUCUAACAGAAUCCACGAAGGAAGAAGAUAUGCCUGCCUUUGGAUCCAGAACAGCAACGGGUGGGGGCGGGUUUAACUCAACAAACAACUCGACAACCAACUCAACAAUGGCAACAGAGGUGCCCGCAGUAAGUGAGGUAGAGGCUGAUGGUGUUCGGGUGGCGAUUAGCAGUUCCGAUGGGUUCAGAAGACCACCUGCGAAUGGAGAGGAUACCAAGAUGCCUCAGGGAGACACGGCGCCGACUCCAACUAAGAAGACAUUACUAGACUUAAGUACCGUUAUCCUUUUGGAAAAUGAAAAAGAUUGUCCUUCGAGGCCAAGUGACGGUAAUGUGGACCAGCAAAAAUGAAAGAAGACUGACAGCAGAAGAAUGAACAGACACUGACAGGUUUAAACUCUGACAGUCACAGAAAUGCUGCUUUAACAGCCUAUUCAAAUAAACAUUUGAAGCCUGUUGUGUGAGAAGUUCUUUAUUUGUUAAUAUUAUUGGAUAGAGGUCAAAUGAAACAUCUAUUUUUUUUAAGAGCAGGCACCUUUGAUAAUGUAUGCUUGCUUCGUCAAAGUCAACACCUACUCUGACAAACCGAGACGCCAGGGGAAAUCAGUAAGCAAUUAUUGGAGAGAUUUGGCAGGUGGACACAAGUCUUGAGUUUACAAAUGGAAAAAAAACACGUAGAUACUGUAUAAUUUUCCAUUUUCAGUGUUUAAAGAUUUAGACAAGACUUCAUUCACAAGGAUCACUUUAUUUUCUGUGUUAGACUCUUUUCUUUUCAUCACAAAUAUUAUCCAAGUCCACCCAAAAUUUGCCAGCAGGGAUCAAUGCUCCCCGACAUCUUUUAUGCAAAGGACAGAAACAUAGAACACAUUUCCAGUUCUUCUUCACCUUUCUAAAACAUAACUGUGCUCUCAGUAAAAACCCAUUUGAUUUUAACCAGGCAUACCACUGUCUUGUAAGCAGAUAGUUCUCUGUUGUUUUGGGGACAAUUUGAUUUUACAGAGGAGCAGUUGCUGUCACUGUCUGGAAAUUAGGUUAUGCAAAAGCAACAACCUGUUCUACACACCUGCAAUGAGGGCUGACACAGCACAUUUACUUAUGAGAAAAAAGCCUUGAUGAUAAUAAUAAAAAAUGAUCUCUUCCUUUUAUUAAAAAAAUGCACAUCUGUUAAUCUUUAUAUUAACUGACAGUGAUUUUUCUAAAAUGUCUAUAUUUAAUUUCUACUUUUAGUACAUUUUUUUCAUUUUUUAUUUUCCCAAAAUGGCAUCCAUGCAGGGAUUAAAGAAGCCCAAAGCAGUUUUCUUGGAAACCAAAAAAAAAGCUAUAUUUACAUUAACCAAAGUAUUCUGUGUGUGACCUAAUUUUUUAGUAUUUUUGAAGGAGCAGUGUGCAGGACUUAGUGGAAUCUAGUGGUGACGUUGCAGAUUGCAAGCGUCUGAACAUCCCUCAUCUCACCCUCCCCCAUAGUUGCCACUGAAAACAUAGACAGUGUGGAAGACCCUCUCUAGAGUCAGUUGCUGUGUCUCAAUUCAGGGCCUGCAUCCUUCAAAGGACCCAGCCUUUGCGGUCCUCGAAGGCAAGUGCUUCGGAGAGACUUUGUUAACCACCCCAACCGUUGUUAAAUGGGACAGUCUGGCCUUUGGAGCAUUUCCUGGUUGUGUCACCAGCUGUUUUCCUCUUACGUCACGAUUUCUGCCGUCCAGGCCCACAAAAGUGAUCAUCUACACCACACAAUGUUGCCAUUUUCUCUCUUUCUUUCUUCUUAUUCGGGCGCGCAAAGAAUCUUGGGAUAUGUGAGGUCACGAGGGAUAGUAGUGGUGCAUCCUCCAAAAAGAGGGAAAAGAAGGCUGCAUUUGGAGGAGCCUUUGAAUUGGUACAGUCUUUGAAUUGGUACAGUCUUUGAAUUGGGACAGCCUUUGUGCGACAUUGUGACGUAAUUGUCCCUUUAAAUGAGGCCUCCGAAGGGUGCAGACCCUGAAUUGAGACACAGAAUAUGUUUGGUUUGUCCCCUUUGGGCUACAGUACAAAAUAGCAGAUUCUGUGGAAGACGAACCGCUCUCUCUGUAGAUUCUUAGUUUCAGGUGAUUAUACACAAACAAAAACAUAAUUAUGAAUAUUAU